rnacentral:rRNA from 1 species
ACGGCGAGUGAAGCGGGAAGAGCUCAAAUUUGAAAUCUGGUAGCCUUCGGCUGCCCGAGUUGUAAUCUAGAGAAGUGUUUUCCGUGCCGGCCCAUGUACAAGUCCCUUGGAACAGGGCGUCAUAGAGGGUGAGAAUCCCGUCCUUGACAUGGACCCCCGGUGCUUUGUGAUACACUUUCAACGAGUCGAGUUGUUUGGGAAUGCAGCUCAAAAUGGGUGGUGAAUUCCAUCUAAAGCUAAAUAUUGGCGAGAGACCGAUAGCGAACAAGUACCGUGAGGGAAAGAUGAAAAGCACUUUGGAAAGAGAGUUAAACAGUACGUGAAAUUGUUGAAAGGGAAACGAUUGAAGUCAGUCAUGCUCUUUGGAUUCAGCCGUUCUGCGGUGUAUUUCCAUUGAGUGGGGUCAACAUCAGUUUUGACCGCUGGAUAAAGGCACUAGGAAGGUAGCACUCUCGGGUGAACUUAUAGCCUAGCGUCAUAUACAGUGGUUGGGACUGAGGAACGCAGCAUGCCUUUAUGGCCGGGAUUCGUCCACGUACAUGCUUAGGAUGUUGACAUAAUGGCUUUAAACGACC